rnacentral:miRNA from 2 species
UUCCUAUGCACAUACCUCUUU